UACGAAGGGGCUAGCGUUGCUCGGAAUCACUGGGCGUAAAGGGCGCGUAGGCGGCUGUUCAAGUCGGGGGUGAAAUCCCGUGGCUCAACCACGGAAUGGCCUUCGAUACUGGACGGCUGGAGACCGGAAGAGGUGAGUGGAACUGCGAGUGUAGAGGUGAAAUUCGUAGAUAUUCGCAAGAACACCAGUGGCGAAGGCGGACUCACUGGUCCGGUUCUGGACGCUGAGGCGCGAAAGCGUGGGGAGCAAACAGG
rnacentral:rRNA from 1 species